AUUGAACGCUGGCGGCAGGCCUAACACAUGCAAGUCGAACGAGUGGCGGACGGGUGAGUAAUGUCUGGGAAACUGCCUGAUGGAGGGGGAUAACUACUGGAAACGGUAGCUAAUAACGCAUACCAUCAGAUGUGCCCAGAUGGGAUUAGCUAGUAGGUGGGGUAAUGGGUAACUUAGGCGACGAUCCCUAGCUGGUCUGAGAGGAUGACCGGCCACACUGGAACUGAGACACGGUCGAGAGUCCGACGGGAGGCAGCAGUGGGGAAUAUUGCACAAUUGGCGCAAGCCUGCUGCAGCCAUGCCGCGUGUGUGAAGAAGGCCUUCGGGUUGUGAAGCACGUUCAGCGAGGAGGCGUUACUCGCAGAAGAAGCACCGGCUAACUCCGUGCCAGCAGCCGCGGUAAUAC
rnacentral:rRNA from 1 species